rnacentral:rRNA from 1 species
AUGCGUUGUUGGGUAGGGGAGCGUUCUGUAAGCCUGCGAAGGUGUGCUGUGAGGCAUGCUGGAGGUAUCAGAAGUGCGAAUGCUGACAUAAGUAACGAUAAAGCGGGUGAAAAGCCCGCUCGCCGGAAGACCAAGGGUUCCUGUCCAACGUUAAUCGGGGCAGGGUGAGUCGACCCCUAAGGCGAGGCCGAAAGGCGUAGUCGAUGGGAAACAGGUUAAUAUUCCUGUACUUGGUGUUACUGCGAAGGGGGGACGGAGAAGGCUAUGUUGGCCGGGCGACGGUUGUCCCGGUUUAAGCGUGUAGGCUGGUUUUCCAGGCAAAUCCGGAAAACUAAGGCUGAGGCGUGAUGACGAGGCACUACGGUGCUGAAGCAACAAAUGCCCUGCUUCCAGGAAAAGCCUCUAAGCAUCAGGUAACAUCAAAUCGUACCCCAAACCGACACAGGUGGUCAGGUAGAGAAUACCAAGGCGCUUGAGAGAACUCGGGUGAAGGAACUAGGCAAAAUGGUGCCGUAACUUCGGGAGAAGGCACGCUGAUAUGUAGGUGAAGUCCCUCGCGGAUGGAGCUGAAAUCAGUCGAAGAUACCAGCUGGCUGCAACUGUUUAUUAAAAACACAGCACUGUGCAAACACGAAAGUGGACGUAUACGGUGUGACGCCUGCCCGGUGCCGGAAGGUUAAUUGAUGGGGUCAGCGCAAGCGAAGCUCUUGAUCGAAGCCCCGGUAAACGGCGGCCGUAACUAUAACGGUCCUAAGGUAGCGAAAUUCCUUGUCGGGUAAGUUCCGACCUGCACGAAUGGCGUAAUGAUGGCCAGGCUGUCUCCACCCGAGACUCAGUGAAAUUGAACUCGCUGUGAAGAUGCAGUGUACCCGCGGCAAGACGGAAAGACCCCGUGAACCUUUACUAUAGCUUGACACUGAACAUUGAGCCUUGAUGUGUAGGAUAGGUGGGAGGCUUUGAAGUGUGGACGCCAGUCUGCAUGGAGCCGACCUUGAAAUACCACCCUUUAAUGUUUGAUGUUCUAACGUUGACCCGUAAUCCGGGUUGCGGACAGUGUCUGGUGGGUAGUUUGACUGGGGCGGUCUCCUCCUAAAGAGUAACGGAGGAGCACGAAGGUUGGCUAAUCCUGGUCGGACAUCAGGAGGUUAGUGCAAUGGCAUAAGCCAGCUUGACUGCGAGCGUGACGGCGCGAGCAGGUGCGAAAGCAGGUCAUAGUGAUCCGGUGGUUCUGAAUGGAAGGGCCAUCGCUCAACGGAUAAAAGGUACUCCGGGGAUAACAGGCUGAUACCGCCCAAGAGUUCAUAUCGACGGCGGUGUUUGGCACCUCGAUGUCGGCUCAUCACAUCCUGGGGCUGAAGUAGGUCCCAAGGGUAUGGCUGUUCGCCAUUUAAAGUGGUACGCGAGCUGGGUUUAGAACGUCGUGAGACAGUUCGGUCCCUAUCUGCCGUGGGCGCUGGAGAACUGAGGGGGGCUGCUCCUAGUACGAGAGGACCGGAGUGGACGCAUCACUGGUGUUCGGGUUGUCAUGCCAAUGGCACUGCCCGGUAGCUAAAUGCGGAAGAGAUAAGUGCUGAAAGCAUCUAAGCACGAAACUUGCC